CAGUAGCCGCGGGAAUACGGAGGAUCCAAGCGUUAUCCGGAAUCAUUGGGUUUAAAGGGUCCGUAGGCGGUCUUGUAAGUCAGUGGUGAAAGCCCAUCGCUCAACGGUGGAACGGCCAUUGAUACUGCAGGACUUGAAUUAUUGGGAAGUAACUAGAAUAUGUAGUGUAGCGGUGAAAUGCUUAGAGAUUACAUGGAAUACCAAUUGCGAAGGCAGGUUACUACCAAUUGAUUGACGCUGAUGGACGAAAGCGUGGGUAGCGAACAGGAUUAGAGACCCCUGUAGUCCCUGUCUCUUAUAC
rnacentral:rRNA from 1 species